AUACAAUGGAAUACUCCUCAGCCAUAAAAAGGAGUGAAUUAAUGGCAUUCGCAGUGACCUGGAUAAGAUUGGAGACUAUUAUUCUAAGUGAAAGAACUCAGGAAUGGAAAACCAAACAUCGCUAUGUUCUCACUCAUAAGUGGGAGCUAAGCUAUGAGGAUGCAAAGGCAUAAGAAUGACACAAUGAACUUUGGGGACUCAGGGAGAAAGGGUGGGAAGGGGAUGAGGAAUAAAAGACAAAAAUUGGGUGCAGUGUAUACUGCUCAGGUGAUGGGUGUACCAAAAUCUCACAAAUCACCACUAAAGAAGUUAACCAACACCACCUGUUCCCCAGUAACCUAUGGAAAGAAAGAAAUGUCUCAUAUGUUUCUGCCUAAAUUGGUCUUUAAUACUUUAGCGAUUCUCUUGAGUUUGGACUAUAAAAUAGUUUUGGUCUUUUUGUAUUUUCUGCUGUAAGCCUGUAUGAUUAUGUAAUGGUGAGUAAAAUUGCUAGGCCAGAUACGCAGUUCUAGGAAGUUAUUCAAAGAUGUGCUUUAGUAUAUUAUUUUCUACCUUUUUAAAUUCAUUUUGAGCUUGGCUUUUGAGCCUCUAUUUUCCAAGGUGAGGUGUAUGUUUUUAUAAUGUUAUGCUUAGCCCUUGUGUAUUUUCAUCUCUGAGUUUGAAAUUUGGGGUUAUAUUGGCAAAGGGAGGUUUGGGUUUUAAUUAGGUGACCUGUUACAGGAAAUGUUAAGCUUCUGUUUCUUUGGGGUAGACAGUGAGAGAUUUAUCAAGAUAAAGAAGAAAAAUAAAUCCUAAAGUUAAUAUUCAAUACAUGAUGAUGUCACCCUUACUAAAGCCAAAGAGGGCAUUAUCCUAUCAUUCUCAUCGCUAAGAACUCUUCUCCUCUUGGCACAUGCUUAUUCAGUUAAAGAUAAGCCAAGCCUUUCUUUUGUAUUUUUUUUUUAAGAGAAAAAAUUUACUUCGGUUUUGAGUUUUAUUCCUGGCUCUGGGUAGCUUAUUUUUUUGACCCUUAUUUUCCCCAAUUUAUAAAAUGAAAUAGUUAUCUUCACUCCCCAGGAUUGUUGUGAAGAGUAAGUCAAAAGAUAAAAUGAGGUGACUCAGGCAAAAGUACCUGGCCCUGUGUAGUGAGUACAUUGUAUGUGUUACAUAUAUUCUUAUUGCUGAGAAUCCACGAAAGAAUGAAUUAAAUAAUGAGGACCCUUUCAUCAGGGUUUUUGAGUGAGUUUUUUAAAAUACAAGGUAGUAGUUUGUGUAAAUACUAAAUCCAUUGGUACCUGUGCAGAAUGUAGGAAAUGGAGUUGCUAAUUCCAAAAAAAACAGCACAUAUGCUGAGGAAAGUAUAAUACCUAAUAUAUAUGGUUUAAGCAAUGUAAAAUUCCAUGAAUAUGUUCCUUUUCAUCUUAAAAUUUGUGAUUUAAAAAACAUUGAUAUUACUAUAAAGAAUUAUUAUUAUUUCCCUUGAUUUACAGAGUAUUGUUACAAUCACAUUUGAAGUACCAGGAAAUGCAAAGGAAGAACAUCUUAAUAUGUUUAUUCAGAAUCUCCUGUGGGAAAAGAAUGUGAGAAACAAGGACAAUCACUGCAUGGAGGUCAUAAGGCUGAAGGUACAGUUUACUGUUGCAGACUUUUGGACAAAGUCCUUUUCUUGGCUGUUAUAAAAACUAUAUUUGGUUUUAAACAGAAACACUGGUUUUAGUACAAAUCAUCUUUGUCUACUUUCAUUUUUCUUUAUUAUUUUCAUGACUGAAAAGGAGCUUUGGAAAUCACUGCAUAAGGCUUGAUUUAUUUGCACAACUUUCUUUAGGGUUGCAGCUAGAACAAACCUGUGCGCUUUGAAAUGUUACCUUCUGCUCUCUGUUCCCAAGUACAGAGAAAUAAUGUUGCAAAUCUCACUUCUGCUGAACAUUAUGCUUCCUGAUGCAUUUAGCAGACACUAAACAUUUGUCAUACUCUAAACAAAGUUACAAAGGACUAGAAGAAUUCUUGUUCUGUAUUUAGAAACCCACUCACAUUACUUGAUAUUUGGGUAUUUAAGUCAUGAAAGGUAUUUCUUCUAGGAAGCAGUGAUUCUAAAGUGUAUGCUUAACCAGUCAGUUGAGUGUCUACUCUUGUGUGUUCACAAGUGUACACAAAGUUUUUGGUAAAUUAAGAAUAUUAUUUCAAAUAAAUUAAUUUCAUCCCCAUAGGAGCCAGUUUAUCAGAUAAUUCGUUUCUCAUUUCUGCAAAUCAGUACACAAUGAGCUCAUAUUCAGAUAAAUAUAAUAGUUUUUCUUUAUUUCAACAUUGUUCAUUGAUUGCAACCCAUUUCUAAAACAAAUUAUUUAAUAUAACCAAACUCCUUUAACUUCUCAACUUUUCCCACUAAAACUGUGAAACAUUAUAUAAAAUCUUUAAUCAAUAGGAUAUGAUACAUAUUUCAUCAUUUUGUUUCAGGUUUUGGUUGUGAUAAAUAACACUGAAAAACCAUCCUAAUAUAUGUAUUAACUUUAUCAUUAGAAAAGGGGAUUGUUCAAAAAAAAAACAAUACACAGAAACCUUUUUUGAAAAUUAAAAACAUUAAGAAACUUCUUGUAAUUCACAAAUAAUUGAAAUUAAGUAAUUUUCUCAGCUUAAGAGUUUGUAUUUUUUAAGUGAAUAUCAGUAAUUAAUCCAUUAACAUUGAUGCUCUAUUUCUGCUUUUAAGUUUGAACUGAGGCUGAUCAAUGUUCAGUCAAUUCUCCUUUGAGCAGGGAUUGGUGUCAAUCAAAGACAAAUCACAACAAGUGAUUGUCCAGGGUGUCCAUGAGCUCUAUGAUCUGGAGGAGACUCCAGUGAGCUGGAAGGAUGACACUGAGAGAACAAAUUGAUUGGUCCUCAUUGGUAAGUCUCAAAGGAUUCACAGUUUUAAAACAAAGUGAAAAAUAUAUUUGAAAGGGAUAUCAUGUGCCACUUAAACAGAUUAACCAUUCAGGUCCUCUUUUAAAACUAAAUAAGCUUGUGGUCAAUGUUUCAUCUUUAUCAUGUUACAACGUUCGUAAAAGCUUGUUAGGACUUUUGUUCUUCUUCAGUUUUAGAAAAGUGGUUAAUCCAAGGACCAAUGUGACUUUGAUGUACUGACCUGGAAAGUUAAAGAUGGAAUCACUCAAUUGCUAUUCUUUUUGUAAAUUUCUAAACACCAUAAAGCAUUUAAUGAACUGGAAUUGAUAGGUGAACUGUGUCAUUUUAAUAAGCAUAAUGUAAUC
rnacentral:lncRNA from 1 species